UACGUAGGUGACCAGCGUUGUCCGGAUUUACUGGGCGUAAAGAGCGCGCAGGCGGUCGUUCAAGUCGAGUGUGAAAGCCCCCGGCUCAACUGGGGAGGGUCACUCGAUACUGAUCGACUUGAAGGCAGGAGAGGGAAGCGGAAUUCCCGGUGUAGCGGUGAAAUGCGCAGAUAUCGGGAGGAACACCGGUGGCGAAGGCGGUUCUCUGGGCCUGUACUGACGCUGAGGAGCGAAAGCGUGGGGAGCGAACAGG
rnacentral:rRNA from 1 species